AAAGCUGAGUUUUCUACAUCUCAGAUCAUUGAUGGGAUUGACACACAAUAGAGAAUUCAAGCAAAUUUAGCUCCCUUCAAUCCAAAUCAAAAAUAUUUUGUUGAAGUAAAUCAGGUCCCAUAUUAUUCUGAAAGCAUAAAUCAUAAUAUUACAUGUUCAUAACUUUUAAAGGCACAACACCAUAUGAUUGAUAAACCAUCAUAAUAAGGACAUGAAUGAA